CGCUUUCGCUCCUUGCCCUGCUGCUCUUCUUGCCUCUGCACAUGACUGCAUGCUAUAGGCUACAGGUCAAGCCAGCUCCUUCUCCAUCAAAAGUUGAGUCUUCCUAUGAUCCUAGAUAUCCUAGGAAACCUAGAUGUAGUAUCCCUCAAAUCGUUUGAUGCAGUGUGUGUGGUAAGAAGAGCUGGGAAGAUGAAGGGUGUUUGUGGGCCCUUGCAGGCCCACUACCAACCUGGGAGCCGCUUACAAAGACUCUGCUCCAGGAACUCCUACUUGAGGUUCCUUUACCUCGCUUGUCUCUUCCCUUAAUGCAUGAAAUGGAACUGAUCCCUGCAGAUCC